ACAAUCCAAAGGCAAACCCGUCGCAAGGCGGGGACGCAAAGCUAUAGGGCCAUGUACCGUAUGGUACAUGGCAGCCAGUUGCCGCG
rnacentral:ncRNA from 1 species